AUUGAACGCUGGCGGCAGGCUUAACACAUGCAAGUCGAACGGAGUGGCGGACGGGUGAGUAAUGCUGGGGAAUCUGGCUUAUGGAGGGGGAUAACUACGCGAAAACGUAGCUAAUACCGCAUACUAUAGGUGCGGCCGAUGGCGGAUUAGCUAGUUGGGGUGGUAACGGCUCACCAAGGGGACGAUGCAUAGCUGGUUUGAGAGGAUGACCAGCCACACUGGGACUGAGACACGGCCCAGACUCCUACGGGAGGCAGCAGUGGGGAAUUUUGGACAAUGGGCGAAACCCUGAUCCAGCCAUGCCGCGUGUGUGAAGAAGGCUUUCGGGUUGUAAAGCACUUUUGGCAGGAAAGCGGUAUCUGCAGAAUAAGCACCGGCUAACUACGUGCCAGCAGCCGCGGUAAUAC
rnacentral:rRNA from 1 species